UGAAGCAUCGGUGCCCUCUGCCA
rnacentral:piRNA from 1 species